CAGUCGAGCGGACGAACGGGACCUGGUUCCCUUCGUCAGCGGCGGAUGGGUGAGUAACACGUGGGCAACCUGCCUGUAAGACUGGGAUAACUUCCGGAAACCGGAGCUAAUACCGGAUAACUUCUUUUUCCUCCUGGGAAAAGGUUGAAAGACGGCUUUGGCUGUCACUUACAGAUGGGCCCGCGGCGCAAUAGCUAGUUGGUGGGGUAACGGCUCACCAAGGCAACGAUGCGUAGCCCACCUGAGAGGGUGAUCGGCCACACUGGGACUGAAACACGGCCCAAACUCCUACGGGAGGCAGCAGUAGGGAAUCUUCCGCAAUGGACGAAAGUCUGACGGAACAACGCCCCGUGAGUGAUGAAGGUCUUCGGAUCGUAAAACUCUGUUAUCAGGGAAGAACAAGUAUCGGAAUAACUGCCGGUACCUUGACGGUACCUGACCAGAAAGCCACGGCUAACUACGUGCCAGCAGCCGCGGUAAUACGUAAGUGGCAAGCGUUGUCCGGAAUUAUUGGGCGUAAAGCGCGCGCAGGCGGUCUCUUAAGUCUGAUGUGAAAUCCCGUGGCUUAACCACGGGCGGUCAUUGGAAACUGGGGGACUUGAGUGCANAAGAAAAGAACGGAAUUCCACGUGUAGCGGUGAAAUGCGUAAAGAUGUGGAGGAACCCAGUGGCGAAGCGGCUCUUUGGUCUGUAACUGACGCUGAAGCGCGAAAGCGUGGGGAGCGAACGGAUUAGAACCCGGUAUCCACCCGUAACGAUGAUGCUAAUGUUAAAGGUUCCGCCUUUAUGCUGCGUUAAGCAUUAACACUCCGCUGGGGAUACGCCGCAAGCUGAACUCAAGGAAUGACGGGGCCCCACAGCGGGGAGAUGUGGUUAAUUCAAGCACGGAAAACCUACCAGUCUGACUCCCCUGACGGUCU
rnacentral:rRNA from 2 species